CGACGGGCCCCGCACAAGCAGCGGAGCGUUGUGGUUUAAUUCGUUGCUACACGAAGAACCUUUACCUGGGUUUGACAUAAUGGUGGUAGGGAUCCGAAAGGUGACCGACCUUCGGGGAGCCAUUUACAGGUGUUGCAUGGCUGUCGUCAGCUCGUGUCGUGAGAUGUUCGGUUAAGUCCGCUAACGAGCGCAACCCUCGCUGUGUGUUAUAUGUGUCACACAGGACUGCUGGUAUUAAGCCGGAGGAAGUGGGACGACGUCAAGUCAGCAUGACCUUUAUAUCCAGGGCUACACACACGCUACAAUGGUCAGUACAAUGGGUUACCAAGCCGCGAGGCGGAGCCAAUCCUAAAAAGCUGGCCUCAGUUCAGAUUGCAGUCUGAAACUCGACUGCAUGAAGUCGGAGUUGCUAGUAAACGCAGGUCAGCUAUACUGCGUUGAAUACGUUCCCGGGGCUU
rnacentral:rRNA from 1 species